CCAGACUCCUACGGGAGGCAGCAGUGAGGAAUAUUGGUCAAUGGGCGCGAGCCUGAACCAGCCAAGUCGCGUGAGGGAUGACGGCCCUACGGGUUGUAAACCUCUUUUGUCGGGGAGCAAAUUCCGCCACGUGUGGCGGAGUCGAGAGUACCCGAAGAAAAAGCAUCGGCUAACUCCGUGCCAGCAGCCGCGGUAAUACGGAGGAUGCGAGCGUUAUCCGGAUUUAUUGGGUGUAAAGGGUGCGUAGACGGGAAAUUAAGUUAGUUGUGAAAUCCCUCGGCUCAACUGAGGAACUGCAACUAAAACUGAUUUUCUUGAGUGCAGGAGAGGUAAGUGGAAUUCCUAGUGUAGCGGUGAAAUGCGUAGAUAUUAGGAGGAACACCAGUGGCGAAGGCGACUUACUGGACUGUAACUGACGUUGAGGCACGAAAGUGUGGGGAGCAAACAGGAUUAGAUACCCGUGUAA
rnacentral:rRNA from 1 species